CUCCAAUAAUCAAUCUUGGGAGAGAAUUCUUCUUAACACCGCAUCUAAGCUAACAUGAGGAUUGCUCUAGCGCUUCUCCUGACUCUUACCGUCCUCUUACUAGCAUCAGAUGUGGAAGCUGAUUGUACGACAUCAAUUAUCAACCGUCCAAAUAAGUGUGCAAACGCUAUUUGCGAGCAGUCCUGCGACGCAAGGCGCCAGUCCGUCUGUGCCGAUCAAUGUCGUCUUCAGAAGGCCAGUUGUGUUGGAAAGUUGUGCGGAUGUACCUGGUGCAAUUAGUUGUACUUCCCUCGUUAAUUGAGGUCCCAGUAAAGGGAAGUAUGACCAUUAGACAAAAAUAAUUGCAAUGCCACACUUCACAGUGCGGCAGCAAGACUUUCGCUGGAAAGUUAUGUAGAACAAAAAUUUAAUACUCAACUUGAGUUAUAUGAAGUUAUCAGAAUAAAGUGU